AGCGAACGCUGGCGGCAGGCUUAACACAUGCAAGUCGAGCGGGCAUCCUUGUGGUGUCAGCGGCAGACGGGUGAGUAACGCGUGGGAACGUGCCCUUCGGUUCGGAAUAACUCAGGGAAACUUGAGCUAAUACCGGAUACGUGCGAGAGCAGAAAGGUUUAUCUGCCGAAGGAUCGGCCCGCGUCUGAUUAGCUAGUUGGUGAGGUUAUGGCUCACCAAGGCGACGAUCAGUAGCUGGUCUGAGAGGAUGAUCAGCCACACUGGGACUGAGACACGGCCCAGACUCCUACGGGAGGCAGCAGUGGGGAAUAUUGGACAAUGGGGGCAACCCUGAUCCAGCCAUGCCGCGUGAGUGAUGACGGCCUUAGGGUUGUAAAGCUCUUUUCUUCGGGACGAUAAUGACGGUACCGGAGGAAUAAGCCCCGACUAACUUCGUG
rnacentral:rRNA from 1 species